CUUGGUCAUUUAGAGGAAGUAAAAGUCGUAACAAGGUUUCCGUAGGUGAACCUGCGGAAGGAUCAUUAACGAGAGGUGUGGUGUGGUGUAGUAGUUUGGUGGGGUGACGGGGUGAUGGAAUGAUAGAAUGAUAGGUCUAAUCACCCAUGCACCCAAUUCAUCCUAUAGCGCCCGCCUCAACAAACGCAAGGCAAUUGCCUUGUUUCACGCUUGUCUUUGUUUGUCAAACAUGAUCUGUCAGUGCUUUAUGAUAACUUUUAACAAUGGAUCUCUUGGCUCUUGCAACGAUGAAGAACGCAGUAAGGUGCGAAAUGUAGUGCGAUUUGCAUGAAUCUGUGAGUCAUUUAAUCUUUGAACGCAACUUGCACCCAUUCCUGGGUAUGUUUGUUUGAGACGGCAAACCGGAUGAAUUCUGUCGAUCUGGCCAUGACCGGGUCUUGGCUCAAAAGCAGCAUGUUGAUGACGGAUGGUGGAUUGCUAGAGCUAGAGACGCAAGUCUUUUCGAUGCAAAUCCAUCGCCGUGACUAUACAACCGUCUCAAAUCAAGCAAGAUUACCCGCUGAACUUAAGCAUAUCAAUAAGCGGAGGA
rnacentral:rRNA from 1 species